UACAGAGGGUGCAAGCGUUACUCGGAAUUAUUGGGCGUAAAGAGCGUGUAGGCGGCCAUGCAGGUCCGUUGUGAAAACUCGAGGCUCAACCUCGAGACGCCGAUGGAAACCGCAUGGCUAGAGUCCGGAAGAGGAGAGUGGAAUUCCUGGUGUAGCGGUGAAAUGCGCAGAUAUCAGGAAGAACACCCGUGGCUAAGGCGGCUCUCUAGUACGGUACUGACGCUGAGACGCGAAAGCGUGGGGAGCGAACAGG
rnacentral:rRNA from 1 species